GAUGAACGCUGGCGGCGUGCCUAAUACAUGCAAGUCGAGCGAACAGACGAGGAGCUUGCUCCUCUGACGUUAGCGGCGGACGGGUGAGUAACACGUGGAUAACCUACCUAUAAGACUGGGAUAACUUCGGGAAACCGGAGCUAAUACCGGAUAAUAUAUUGAACCGCAUGGUUCAAUAGUGAAAGACGGUUUUGCUGUCACUUAUAGAUGGAUCCGCGCCGCAUUAGCUAGUUGGUAAGGUAACGGCUUACCAAGGCGACGAUGCGUAGCCGACCUGAGAGGGUGAUCGGCCACACUGGAACUGAGACACGGUCAAGACUCCUACGGGAGGCAGCAGUAGGGAAUCUUCCGCAAUGGGAGAAAGCCUGACGGAGCAACGCCGCGUGAGUGAUGAAGGUCUUCGGAUCGUAAAACUCUGUUAUUAGGGAAGAACAAAUGUGUAAGUAACUAUGCACGUCUUGACGGUACCUAAUCAGAAAGCCACGGCUAACUACGUG
rnacentral:rRNA from 1 species